CGGAUGUGAAAUCCCCGGGCUCAACCUGGGAACUGCAUUCGAAACUGGCAGGCUUGAGUCUUGUAGAGGGGGGUAGAAUUCCAGGUGUAGCGGUGAAAUGCGUAGAGAUCUGGAGGAAUACCGGUGGCGAAGGCGGCCCCCUGGACAAAGACUGACGCUCAGGUGCGAAAGCGUGGGGAGCAAACAGGAUUAGAUACCCUGGUAGUCCACGCCGUAAACGAUGUCUACUUGGAGGUUGUGCCCUUGAGGCGUGGCUUCCGGAGCUAACGCGUUAAGUAGACCGCCUGGGGAGUACGGCCGCAAGGUUAAAACUCAAAUGAAUUGACGGGGGCCCGCACAAGCGGUGGAGCAUGUGGUUUAAUUCGAUGCAACGCGAAGAACC
rnacentral:rRNA from 2 species